UCUAUAUAAGGAACCCAUGAUGGGAAACAGCCAAGUGAAAUGCACCUGGAUGUCUGUGUAAGCAGUCAUAAGAUUGCCAGUGGCCAGCAGAAGACGAAAGGGAAUGCCUGCCUAGGAGAGAAGAGCACGCCUUGUGCAAACAUCAAAGCGCUGCUUCUAAGAGGGCACAAUUAACAGUGCAUACCUCCUGGGAACAUGUUACCAAAAGUUAGAAGGCCAAAUUCCCUCAGCCUCUAUCCAGCAUCACAAAUAACUUCAAUGAGAACCAUAGGAACAUCGAGUGUCCUGUGAAUCUGAGAACUGCAAUGGGCCCUAGGGGCUCUUCCAUCCAGGCUUAUCAUGAUUCAGGAGAAGAAAUUGAGGACCGAAGACAUCAAAUAUAAUAAGCUAAUGGAGGAACUGAGGCUACUUGCCUGGCUCCAGUGCUCUUUCCUUUGCCUCAAAAUCUUUACAGGUCAGCCAUCUAUCAUGUGUAGAAUAAGCAAACUGAAUUAACAUUGGAAAUAUUAAAAGAACAGAGGUUGCGUGGAUAUUGGUUGGAACAGAGAAGAAGUUUUCACAAGGAAUUAAAGUAACACCAGCUGCUCACUGCUCUGACUUAAACCAUACAGCAACUCCAGAAACAUGGGGGGUGUUGUUGAGUGGCAAGGUAAGCUCAAGAAUGCUAAAUGUGUCUGAAGGCAAAGGGGAUUAUUUGUCAUUGGCCUUCUGACUCAAAAAAGCCAACAUAUAUAUAUAUAUCUCAAAACCUACUGAUAAGCAGAAAGAAUAUAGGGCUGUUAUACUUGGUUGGCAUCACUUUGUUCAGAAAGCAAGAAGGCAGCUGCAUUCCACACUGACCAAAACUAUUAUAUCAGGUUGUGCUUCUCUUAGUCUUAGGUGUCUUCUCGUAGGACUGUUUUAAAAUUCAACACGAGGGGAGAGGGAACAAGCUAGACACAGAGAAAAUAGUUAUAUAUUUAGAGGACUGUGAGAUCUUAAUAAAAUUUAACCGUAUGGGGGCUCUAUUGCAUUUACCAUUCAUUCAACAAAAGUUACUGAUUGCCCAUUAUGUACUAGGCCCUGGUCUAGGCACAUGGAAUACACAGAUGAAUAAAUAUGUUCACUGUCCAUUACUUUCUCAAAAGUUGAGGGGCCAGAAAACUAAAAUGAAAUGAGACAGACACUACUGGGGCUCAGGCUGGGUUGAGGGGAGGGCCUUCAACCCUGCCUUGCUAUAUUAGCAAAGGCUUCUAGGAGAGGAGUUGAGGCCUUUUCACGCUUUUUGAAGGAAAGAUCGUGUUAAUCAAGUAAAUUAGAGAAAAGACAUUCCUAGUGGAAGAAACAACCAUGUCAAACUUCAAAGAAUGAUCAGGAAACUAUAAUAAAUGUAUUCUUUCUCUAGUGCA
rnacentral:lncRNA from 1 species